rnacentral:rRNA from 1 species
GAGUUCGACCAUUCCAGCACUAACGCACCAGAUCCCAUCAGAACUUCGAAGUUAAGUGUGCUUGGGUGAGAGUAGUACUAGGAUGGGUGACCCCCAAGAAGUCCGCUAAAGCAAUUUUU